CUUGGGUGUGUGAGUGCAUGUGAGUGAGUGUGUGUGAGUGUGUGUGCUUUGAGGUAGAAUGCCCUGUGCACAGAUCCCAGCGAACACA
rnacentral:miRNA from 1 species